CGUGCAGGCGGGUGGAUAAGUCUGAUGUGAAAGCCCCGGGCUUAACCUGGGAAGUGCAUUGGAGACUGUCCAUCUUGAGUACUGGAGAGGAAGGGAGAAUUCCCGGUGUAGAGGUGAAAUUCGUAGAGAUCGGGAGGAACACCAGUGGCGAAGGCGCCCUUCUGGACGGUUACUGACGCUGAGACGCGAAAGCGUGGGGAGCAAACA
rnacentral:rRNA from 1 species